rnacentral:rRNA from 1 species
AUGCAAGUCGAACGGUGAACCUGCUUCGGUGGGGGAUCAGUGGCGAACGGGUGAGUAACACGUGGGCAACCUGCCCUCAGCUCUGGGAUAACUCCAAGAAAUUGGGGCUAAUACUGGAUAUGACCGCUGACCGCAUGGUCUGGUGGUGGAAAGAUUUAUCGGCUGGGGAUGGGCCCGCGGCCUAUCAGCUUGUUGGUGGGGUAGUGGCCUACCAAGGCGACGACGGGUAGCCGGCCUGAGAGGGUGACCGGCCACACUGGGACUGAGACACGGCCCAGACUCCUACGGGAGGCAGCAGUGGGGAAUAUUGCGCAAUGGGCGAAAGCCUGACGCAGCGACGCCGCGUGGGGGAUGACGGCCUUCGGGUUGUAAACCUCUUUCAGCAGGGACGAAGCGAAAGUGACGGUACCUGCAGAAGAAGCACCGGCCAACUACGUGCCAGCAGCCGCGGUAAUACGUAGGGUGCAAGCGUUGUCCGGAAUUAUUGGGCGUAAAGAGCUCGUAGGCGGUUUGUUGCGUCGGCUGUGAAAACCUGAGGCUCAACCUCAGGCCUGCAGUCGAUACGAGCAGACUAGAGUGUUGCAGGGGAGACUGGAAUUCCUGGUGUAGCGGUGAAAUGC